AGCGAACGCUGGCGGCAGGCCUAACACAUGCAAGUCGAACGAACUCUUCGGAGUUAGUGGCGGACGGGUGAGUAACACGUGGGAACGUGCCUUUUGGUUCGGAAUAACUCAGGGAAACUUGUGCUAAUACCGAAUGUGCCCUUCGGGGGAAAGAUUUAUCGCCAUUAGAGCGGCCCGCGUCUGAUUAGCUAGUUGGUGAGGUAACGGCUCACCAAGGCGACGAUCAGUAGCUGGUCUGAGAGGAUGACCAGCCACACUGGGACUGAGACACGGCCCAGACUCCUACGGGAGGCAGCAGUGGGGAAUCUUGCGCAAUGGGCGAAAGCCUGACGCAGCCAUGCCGCGUGAAUGAUGAAGAUCUUAGGAUUGUAAAAUUCUUUCACCGGGGACGAUAAUGACGGUACCCGGAGAAGAAGCCCCGGCUAACUUCGUG
rnacentral:rRNA from 1 species